UGGGGAAUUUUGGACAAUGGGCGAAAGCCUGAUCCAGCAAUGCCGCGUGUGUGAAGAAGGCCUUCGGGUUGUAAAGCACUUUUGUCCGGAAAGAAAUCCUUGGCUCUAAUACAGUCGGGGGAUGACGGUACCGGAAGAAUAAGCACCGGCUAACUACGUGCCAGCAGCCGCGGUAAUACGUAGGGUGCAAGCGUUAAUCGGAAUUACUGGGCGUAAAGCGUGCGCAGGCGGUUUGCUAAGACCGAUGUGAAAUCCCCGGGCUCAACCUGGGAACUGCAUUGGUGACUGGCAGGCUAGAGUAUGGCAGAGGGGGGUAGAAUUCCACGUGUAGCAGUGAAAUGCGUAGAGAUGUGGAGGAAUACCGAUGGCGAAGGCAGCCCCCUGGGCCAAUACUGACGCUCAUGCACGAAAAGCGUGGGGAGCAAAACAGGAUUAGAUAACCCUGGUAGUCCACGCCCUAAAACGAUGUCAACUAGUUGUUGGGGAUUCAUUUCCUUAGUAACGUAGCUAACGCGUGAAGUUGACCGCCUGGGGAGUAACGGUCGCAAGAUUAAAAACUUAAAUGAAUUG
rnacentral:rRNA from 1 species